rnacentral:rRNA from 1 species
UUUGCCUACGGGAGGCAGCAGUAGGGAAUCUUCCACAAUGGGCGAAAGCCUGAUGGAGCAACGCCGCGUGGGUGAAGAAGGUCUUCGGAUCGUAAAACCCUAUUGUUAGAGAAGAAAGUGCGUGAGAGUAACUGUUCACGUUUCGACGGUAUCUAACCAGAAAGCCACGGCUAACUACGUGCCAGCAGCCGCGGUAAUACGUAGGGGGCAAGCGUUAUCCGGAUUCACUGGGCGUAAAGGGAGCGCAGGCGGCAUGGCAAGUCUGAUGUGAAAACCCGGGGCCCAACCCCGGGAGUGCAUUGGAA